UUUCUUUAUUUUGAUGGCUCCAAAUAAAAAUUGGAUGAUUGUAUUUACUGAUAAUGAGGAUGAUAUGAUGCUUGUUGGAGAUGACCCUUGGCAGGAAUUUUGUGCUAUGGUCCGUCAGAUUUUUAUAUACACAAGAGAGGAGGUCCAGAAGAUGGAUUCAAGUACCUUGAACCCAAAAAAUGAAGAUUGUCCUGAUAUGAAAGGGAAUGUCAAGGAAACAAAAGGCAGUCAAUCUGCAUCAUCAUCUAAUUCAAAAAACUCAUAGGCUUAUCCUGCAAUGUCUAGUGAAAAUACUGAAGAAGUAUGACAAGAGAACAGGAGCACUUAUCAGGCAGCCCUUCAUCGAAAAGGUGCUGCAGCAGCCAUUCUUUACAACUGAUCUCCUAUACAAACUCGUGAAGGAGUGUGG